GUGCAUUGCCACAUUUCCUGCGCGUUUCCCUCUGGGGUGCGCGGGGAGGGCAGGGGCCUAAGGAUUCUUUACAGCCGCAUCUAAUCCAACUGGUCAGUGACCCUGGCCCCCUGGUUACAGAGUACUUUCAAAGUCACCACUACUCUUAAGGGUCCCCCCUUUAAGGGCACUGGUAUGCUGAAGAGAAGCGGCGGUUAACGUUCACUGGGCCCAUGUCAUGGGACAAACCCCGGACAUAUAUCAUUGCCGCCCACAGCCUGGAUGAGGCUAUCCUAGGGGGAAUUAUAUUGUCCUUUUGCAGAUGAGAUGACGGAGGUUCACGAAGGUGGGCUGUGUUGAAGAUCACAAAGCUUAAGGAAGGGGUGAGGCAGGUCUGAACUGAGACAGCCCGACUUUGCGUAGGUGCGCACGUCUCCCCGUCUCCCUGGCUGCAGACAUGACGCUGUCCCUUCGCUGACCAGCACGCAGAAAGAAAACUAUGUUCUCCGAAUACAGCCUCCUGACGAUUUUACCACCUUUAAGGGGUGUGUGUAAAACAGAAGCAAAUAAAACCCUUCACAUAA